GAUGUUCCUAAAUGUCGAUGACACUGCCAUUGCAACUGAUGUGGACACCACCAAGCUACCAUGGACACCCUGUAUUGUGAUCUGUGGUAACAGCCCACUUACUGCCAAGAUGUUCAUGGUUGCAGUGGACCAGGUUGAGUGGAACUUGCUGCUACUCUGGAGUUCUUACAGAGAUGUAUCUUCAAAAUCAACCCAGAUCAGGGGACCAAAGUCAAACGAAAAGACAAGGGACGCCAGUAUGCUGUCAACCCAAGGGUGCUGAGCCUCAUUUCCAAAAUUGCCAAUUUUGAAUGGACAGAGUAAAGGGAUAUGAUGUGAAAGGGAUUGUAAAGGUCUUCCUGGAACCCACCUUUUUAUGGAUGUUUCCAUGAGAGCUGUUUUGUUAAUUGAUGCUCCUUGAUGUCCGCCAGUUUGGCCGAGAGUGUGAACGACACACCGCUAUUUCUAUCUGUGGUUCAUUAUUUUUUCCCUGGUUGGUCCAGGAGUGUUAACACCAAGGCUAUAUUUUGUGAUGUGCUUUUUCUGCCAAGUCUAAAAAUAAAUUGUUUGCACCACUGUCAUUUGUGUUAUUCUGAAUCUUGCCUUUUGUGAACACUUAACAU